ACGGGCUUCGGUCUGGUGGCGAGUGGCGAACGGGUGAGUAAGGUAUCGGAACGUACCUUUCAGUGGGGGAUAACGUAGCGAAAGUUACGCUAAUACCGCAUAUUCUGUGAGCAGGAAAGCAGGGGAUCGCAAGACCUUGCGCUGAUUGAGCGGCCGAUAUCAGAUUAGCUAGUUGGUGGGGUAAAGGCCUACCAAGGCGACGAUCUGUAGCGGGUCUGAGAGGAUGAUCCGCCACACUGGAACUGAGACACGGUCCAGACUCCUACGGGAGGCAGCAGUGGGGAAUUUUGGACAAUGGGGGCAACCCUGAUCCAGCCAUGCCGCGUGAGUGAAGAAGGCCUUCGGGUUGUAAAGCUCUUUCGGCCGGGAAGAAAUCGCAUGGGCUAAUACCCUGUGUGGAUGACGGUACCGGAAUAAGAAGCACCGGCUAACUACGUGCCAGCAGCCGCGGUAAUACGUAGGGUGCGAGCGUUAAUCGGAAUUACUGGGCGUAAAGCGUGCGCAGGCGGUUUAGUAAGACAGGCGUGAAAUCCCCGGGCUCAACCUGGGAACUGCGCUUGUGACUGCUAAGCUAGAGUAC
rnacentral:rRNA from 1 species